rnacentral:rRNA from 1 species
AGUGAACGCUGGCGGCGUGCUUAAGACAUGCAAGUCGAACGGCAGUCUUCGGACUGUAGUGGCGCACGGGUGAGUAACGCGUAACUGACCUACCCCAAAGUCGCGGAUAACGAUUCGAAAGAAUCGCUAAUACGUGAUGUGCUGUCAGAUUGUGUUCUGCCAGUAAAGAUUGAUUGCUUUGGGAUGGGGUUGCGUUCCAUCAGCUAGUUGGUGGGGUAAAGGCCCACCAAGGCGACGACGGAUAGCCGGCCUGGGAGGGUGGCCGGCCACAGGGGCACUGAGACACGGGUCCCACUCCUACGGGAGGCAGCAGUUAGGAAUCUUCCACAAGGGGCGAAAGCCUGAUGGAGCGACGCCGCGUGAGGGAUGAAGGUCUUCGGAUCGUAAACCUCUGAAUCAGGGACGAAAGACACUUCGGUGGGAUGACGGUACCUGAGUAAUAGCACCGGCUAACUCCGUGCCAGCCGCCGCAGUAAAAC